CCUACGGGGGGCUGCAGUGGGGAAUAUUGGACAAUGGGCGAAAGCCUGAUCCAGCCAUGCCGCGUGUGUGAAGAAGGCCUUCGGGUUGUAAAGCACUUUCAGUGGGGAAGAAAGCCUUGGGGCUAAUACCCUCGAGGAAGGACAUCACCCACAGAAGAAGCACCGGCUAACUCCGUGCCAGCAGCCGCGGUAAUACGGAGGGUGCGAGCGUUAAUCGGAAUUACUGGGCGUAAAGCGCGCGUAGGCGGUCUGAUAAGCCGGUUGUGAAAGCCCCGGGCUCAACCUGGGAACGGCAUCCGGAACUGUCAGGCUAGAGUGCAGGAGAGGAAGGUAGAAUUCCCGGUGUAGCGGUGAAAUGCGUAGAGAUCGGGAGGAAUACCAGUGGCGAAGGCGGCCUUCUGGACUGACACUGACGCUGAGGUGCGAAAGCGUGGGUAGCAAACAGGAUUAGAUACCCCUUAGUC
rnacentral:rRNA from 1 species